AGCUCGAUGAGUAGGGCGGGACACGUGGUAUCCUGUCUGAAUAUGGGGGGACCAUCCUCCAAGGCUAAAUACUCCUGACUGACCGAUAGUGAACCAGUACCGUGAGGGAAAGGCGAAAAGAACCCCGGCGAGGGGAGUGAAAAAGAACCUGAAACCGUGUACGUACAAGCAGUGGGAGCACCCUUUGGGGUGUGACUGCGUACCUUUUGUAUAAUGGGUCAGCGACUUAUAUUCUGUAGCAAGGUUAACCGAAUAGGGGAGCCGGAGGGAAACCGAGUCUUAACCGGGCGUUAAGUUGCAGGGUAUAGACCCGAAACCCGGUGAUCUAGCCAUGGGCAGGUUGAAGGUUGGGUAACACUAACUGGAGGACCGAACCGACUAAUGUUGAAAAAUUAGCGGAUGACCUGUGGCUGGGGGUGAAAGGCCAAUCAAACCGGGAGAUAGCUGGUUCUCCCCGAAAGCUAUUUAGGUAGCGCCUCGUGAAUUCAUCUCCGGGGGUAGAGCACUGUUUCGGCUAGGGGGCCAUCCCGGCUUACCAACCCGAUGCAAACUGCGAAUACCGGAGAAUGUUAUCACGGGAGACACACGGCGGGUGCUAACGUCCGUCGUGAAGAGGGAAACAACCCAGACCGCCAGCUAAGGUCCCAAAGUCAUGGUUAAGUGGGAAACGAUGUGGGAAGGCCCAGACAGCCAGGAUGUUGGCUUAGAAGCAGCCAUCAUUUAAAGAAAGCGUAAUAGCUCACUGGUCGAGUCGGCCUGCGCGGAAGAUGUAACGGGGCUAAACCAUG
rnacentral:rRNA from 1 species